rnacentral:misc_RNA from 1 species
AGAACCCUGUUCACAAUAAAGCUUCAUGUUUACAUUUCAAAGUGAAUAAGCAGUGCAUGUAUAGGAAGUCUUAUAACAAAUGGAACAGUUUAUAAUAUUGUGUACAGCACACGUAUAAAAAAAAAAGGAGGAGGGCAUUACUACAGAAAAAGGACCAUAUUGUCAAAAGUGACGUAGACUUUAAUUCCAAGUUAUCUCCCUUGAAGAACAUUAAUUUUUGUCCUGCCUUCAUCUAUUUUUGCACGUCUACAUAAUAUAUAUCACAACUGCUACAAUCUCUUUCAUUUUUACCUCACACUCACUCAUGUGCGGCUAUCUACUAUAUAUAUAAAUAUAUAUAUAUAAAAAUGGCGGCCCCCAGCGAAGAGGACGACGUGGAUAAUAACACGAUCGAUUUCCUUAAUAGAGAAUUUGGCGACGAUAUUAGAUCGCUGCGGAAUGUUGAAAAUAUCUACAAGAAUCUCUGUUGCUUAAAAGAGGAUCUUGAAAAUAAGCUAUCGUUGGCCAGUACUGAAGUCCCAAGUGAGAUCAAGAAAGCUAUUAGUAAUGCUGAAGCUGCACAAUCUCGGGUGAAGUCAUUCUGCAGUGAAGAAAUAUCGUUGCAUGAUGAGAUUGAGAAGCACACAAAGCUGAUGGAACCUCUCUUUGAGGAGCUUUCCCAGAUCACAAGUCAAGUUGAUGAACUAAGUCGAUAUACACAGUAUUUUGGGCUAAUAGCCAAAAUAGAUGAAUUAAGUUCUUCCAUCCAGACGUCACUACUUGUAGAAAAUGCCCAGGAUGCAGUUGAAGCAUUCCAAGAAAUGACUACUUUAUACACAGAAUUAGAAAUAUCUAGUUGUGAAAAUCUACUUCGGUUUCACAGAAACACAAUUUUGUUUUGGUACAAAAUACUCAAAAACAAGUUUGCCAGUGAGUUUGAAGAUUUGUUGAAAGCCAUUAAAUGGCCAUUUGUUACAGUGACUCUUUCCAAGACUCCUGUGGUGAAUCAGAGUGAACAGAGGAAUGAAAUGGCAUCUCUUUUCAAAAAGUUGCUGCAUGUAAAUUUGCCUUCAUCUCUUCAAAGACGACGUUCUCUGUUGAACCCUGCUCUUGGUAGACUUCAUAUAGCACCCCAGGUGUUACCGCUUCAGCUUAUGCUGAAACCAUUGAAGAAGAGGUUCAAGUACCAUUUUUAUGGUAACAGACAAACCAAUAGUUUGGACAAGCCAGAAUGGUACUUCACUCAGGUGUUAGCAUGGAUACGGGAUCACUGUGAUUUCUUAGAACUGACAAUCCAACCACUUUUAGAUGAGGAAUCAAAUUUAGUUGCUCGAGUGGAAUUAAUGCGAGGUUUGGUUGAAUUGGUGCUAGAGAAGAUGACUACCGAUUUACCUUUAGUAAUGUAUGAUGAGCACCUCUUCACACAUCUCAUUGACGAAGCUCUCCUAUUUGAUAGAGAAUUGCGGACUAAUUAUGCUUACCCGGCAAACCAACCGGGAGCAAUGCAUGUCUUGUCCCAAGAAGAAGUAUUUGAAAGAUGGCUGGUUGUUGAAAAGCGCUAUGCGAUGGAAAAGGUUGAUGCCAUGAUGUCGUCAUCAUCAGCAUGGCUCUCGCAAUACAGGGAUAUUGCUGAUGUUGACGAAUUAAAGGUACCAGAAUGCGGAGAGAGUUUUAUGACGUUAAUGCAAACAAUUACAGACCGCUAUAAGCAUUUACCACAACCACAGCAUAAGCUGAGAUUCCUUGCUCUCCAACAAGAGCUUCUUGAAGAUUUUCGAACACGUCUUGUUCAAGUGAUGAAGCAAGAAGCACAAAAUGUUCUUGGUCAGCAAUAUUGUUCAAUUCUUAAUACUGCUUCUUAUAUUGUGGAAGUUCUUCAGCAAUGGAGUGAGUUAGUUUUCUUCUUGCAGUUACAGUUUUUCAAAAGUGAAUAUGAGAAAGAAGAUCAAAUCACUCAACGUUUGGAUGACCCACCAAUUAUGACGACAAGCAACCUUUCUUUUAGUGAUUACAAUACAGCUAUGGAUUGUUCUAUAACAGAUUCUAAGGCUAUACUAGAGUCUCAGUUUUUAAUUUCUUUAGAAGAGACUGUUUUCGAUGAUAUGAUUGAUUUAUUUGAGAGGCUUAAAAGCGACAUGCUGAAGACUGUUAUUACAUAUGUUUUUACUGAUGUGAAAGCUAGAAGUCAACCAUACCGCAAAGACAGAUGGAUAACUUUACCUUCUCAACAAGAUGUCCAAGGGGGAGUCCAAGGUUUGUCUCCUACAGCUUGUGAAAUGUUUCUCAUUUUGAAAAGUCACCUUCAAACAGUAGAAAGUCUUAUAAGUAAACCUUUAUUCAACCAAUUCUGGCAACGUUUAGCUGAAAAAUUAAACAAAUUUAUAUUUGAUGAGGUCAUAUUAGCCAAUCAUUUUAGCGAUGGUGGUGCUGCCCAACUGGAGUUUGAUCUAACUCGAAAUCUUUUCCCUCUAUUUGGAGAUUACACAAAAAAGCCAGACGCAUAUUUUCGACAACUCAAAGAAGCUUGUAUUUUAUUGAAUUUGAAAGUUGGAUCUGCCUUACUCUUGAAAGAUGUUUUAGAAGGUGAUGCUCAUUCUGACAAAACCAAUGUGGAUCCAAAUUCUACAGUGAUUGAUCCAAAAUCUUCAUUAUAUGAAAUUGGUAUAUUUAAGUUGACCCCGGCUAAAUCCCUAACAAUUAUUAACCUCAGAACCAAUUUGACCUUAGGAUAAAUAUAUGUAUGGUUAAAUAUAUAUAUAUAUAUAUAUAUACAUACACACACACACACACACACCUAUACAAAUAUGUGUGUAUGUGCCAUCCCCCCUCUCUGUCAUAUAUAUAUAUAUAUAUACACAUACACAUAUAUACACAUCAUAUUUAACAGAAAGUAAAUGAGAACAAAUUAGUCACUAUUUUCUUACUAACAUUCACCAGAAGAAUUAUGAUAUAUGAUUUGAAACUUAUCAGCUAAAAUUCAAUAAUUUAUAAAUAUUGCCUGGCUGUAAGUAGCUGCUAAAUUUUUGCAAAUCAUUACUUUAUCUCAACUGGAAAGUUUGUGUGGUGCACUGUUAGCUAUAUGCGAUCUUCCCAUAUUGUUGAAAAUUGAAGCUUAUUUGUAAUAUUAAUAUCAGUAUUGUUUUACUUACUCCUAAGAUAAAGGGAAGUCAGAAAAGACCCUUUAAAACAUGUAUGCUGCUGUAUAACACACUUCUUUAAAAUGAAAAUAUGUGCAAAAACACAUUUACUUCAAAUAUUUAUUUGCAAAGUACAAUUUAUUCAUUUAGAAAUUGCACUUGGUACUGCUGGCAAGUAUAAUAUUUUUAAAAGACAAUCAAAAUAAAAGUCCAAUAUUUCAGGCUUCCGAGAACAAAUACUCGAACCCUUUUGUGAUAAGUCUUGUUAUAAAUUA